CCCUUAGAUGUUCUGGGCUGCACGCGCGCUACACUGAUGCGCUCAACGAGUUUACGACCUUGCCCGGAAGGGUUGGGUAAUCUUUUUAAAACGCAUCGUGAUGGGGAUAGAUUAUUGCAAUUAUUAAUCUUUAACGAGGAAUUCCUUGUAAUCGCGAUUCAUCAUAUCGCGCUGAAUACGUCCCUGCCCUUUGUACACACCGCCCGUCGCUCCUACCGAUUGAGCGAUCCGGUGAAUGUUUUGGACUGGCGUCAGAAGCGGUUCGCUCCUGACACUACGAAAUUUUGUAAACCUUAUCGCUUAGAGGAAGGAAAAGUCGUAACA
rnacentral:rRNA from 1 species